rnacentral:rRNA from 1 species
GACGAACGCUGGCGGCGUGCUUAACACAUGCAAGUCGAACGGAAAGGCCCGGCUUUUGCUGGGCGCUCGAUUGGCGAACGGGGGAGAAACACGCGAGGAACCCGCCCCUGACUUUGGGAUAACUCUACGAAACUGGGGCUCAUACCCGGUAGGAGAUCCUGCACCACGUUGGGCGAUAGUGAGUUUCGGCGGUGCGGGCUCGUCUCGCUGGUUAUCCGCUUGUUGGUGGAGUAGGGGCGUACCAAGGCUUCGACGGGUAGGCGACCUGAGAGGGGGGCCGGCGACAAUGGGACUGAGAGACGGCGCAGUCGGCAACGGGAGGCAGCGGGGGAAAAUAUGGCGCAAUGGGGGGAAGCGUGAUGCGGCAGCGCCGCGUGCGGGAUGACGGCCUUCGGGUGGUAAACCGCUUUCGCCUGUGACGAAGCGGGAGUGACGGUAAUGGGUAAAGAAGCACCGGCUAACUACGUG